rnacentral:rRNA from 1 species
CGAUAUGGUGACCGAUAGCGCAUAGUACCGUGAGGGAAAGGUGAAAAGAACCCCGGGAGGGGAGUGAAAGAGAACCUGAAACCCUGUGUUUACAAGCAGAGGAAGCACGAUUUAGGUGCGACCUUGUACUUUUUGUAGAACGGACCGGCGAGUUGCGUUAUGUUGCGAGGUUAAGUACUGAAGGUACGGAGCCGAAGCGAAAGCAAGUCUGAAGAGGGCGAAAAGUAACAUGACGCAGACCCGAAACCGGGUGACCUAUCCAUGGCCAGGUUGAAGUGGGAGUACAAUCCCAUGGAGGACCGAACCAGACGUCUGUUGAAAAAGGCGGGGAUGAGCUGUGGAUAGCGGAGAAAUUCCAAUCGAACCCGGAGAUAGCUGGUUCUCCUCGAAAUAGCUUUAGGGCUAGCCUCGUAUUAGAUAACUGGAGGUAGAGCACUGAAUGGGCUAGGGGGCCCAAAGCUUACCGAACCCUAUCAAACUUCGAAUGCCAGGAUAUUGAUGUACGGGAGUCAGUCCGCGAGAGAUAAGUUCCGCGGGCAAAAGGGGAACACCCCAGACCCACUGCUAAGGUCCCAAAGUGCGCGUUAAGUGGAGAAGGAUGUGUGAUUGCACAGACAACCAGGAUGUUGGCUCAGAAGCAGCCAUUCAUUCAAAGAGUGCGUAAUAGCUCACUGGUCGAGUGGUCAUGCGCCGAAGAUGUACCGGGGCUCAAACGCGCCACCGAAGCAUGGGAUUCGCGCAAGCGAGUGGUAGAGGAGCAUUGAAUCAGGGCAGAAGCUGGAGCGGGAGCACCAGUGGACUUGAUUCAAGAGAGAAUGCCGGUAUGAGUAGCGAGAGGCAAGCGAGAAACUUGCCCGUCGAAAGCCUAAGGUUUCCUGGGGAAGGUUCAUCCGCCCAGGGUAAGUCGGGACCUAAGCCGAGGACGGAAGUCGUAGGCGAUGGACAGCAGGUUGAGAUUCCUGCACCGCCUUGAGAAUGAUGCAAUGACACAGAAGGAUAGCAUGAGCCGGGUGAUGGUCAACUCGGUUUCCAGAGCGAGGGCGCUUGGUAGUGAAGUACGCCAAGCACAUAGCCUGAGCCAAAGAGGGAGCGAAAUUCAAGUAGCGAAGCAUGCGAUUUCACGCUGGCGAGAAAAGUUGCUGGUAUAUCGAAGAGGCGCCCGUACCGCAAACCGACGCAGGUAGGCGAGGUGAGAAUCCUAAGACGAACGGGAGAACCCUUGUUAAGGAACUCGGCAAAAUGACCCCGUAACUUCGGGAGAAGGGGUGCCGAUGGAAACAUCGGUCGCAGAGAAAAGGCUCAAGCGACUGUUUAGCAAAAACACAGGUAUCUGCGAAAGCGAGAGCUGACGUAUAGGUGCUGACACCUGCCCGGUGCUGGAAGGUUAAGGGGAAAUGUCAUCGCAAGAGAAGCAUAGAACCGAAGCCCCAGUAAACGGCGGCCGUAACUAUAACGGUCCUAAGGUAGCGAAAUUCCUUGUCGGGUAAGUUCCGACCCGCACGAAUGGUGUAACGA